UACGUAGGGGGCAAGCGUUGUCCGGAUUUAUUGGGCGUAAAGAGCGUGUAGGCGGCCAGACAGGUCCGUUGUGAAAACUCGAGGCUCAACCUCGAGACGUCGAUGGAAACCGUCUGGCUAGAGUCCGGAAGAGGAGAGUGGAAUUCCUGGUGUAGCGGUGAAAUGCGCAGAUAUCAGGAAGAACACCCGUGGCGAAGGCGGCUCUCUGGGACGGUACUGACGCUGAGACGCGAAAGCGUGGGUAGCGAACAGG
rnacentral:rRNA from 1 species